GGGAUGUGGCGAAAUUGGUAGCCGCGCCAGGCUUAGAACUUGGUGUUGAAACAUACGUGUGGGUUCGAGUCCCUCCAUCCCUACCA
rnacentral:tRNA from 1 species